rnacentral:rRNA from 1 species
AUUGAACGCUGGCGGCAGGCCUAACACAUGCAAGUCGAGCGGCAGCGGGAAAGUAGCUUGCUACUUUUGCCGGCGAGCGGCGGACGGGUGAGUAAUGCCUGGGAAAUUGCCCAGUCGAGGGGGAUAACAGUUGGAAACGACUGCUAAUACCGCAUACGCCCUACGGGGGAAAGCAGGGGACCUUCGGGACUUGCGCGAUUGGAUAUGCCCAGGUGGGAUUAGCUAGUUGGUGAGGUAAUGGCUCACCAAGGCGACGAUCCCUAGCUGGUCUGAGAGGAUGAUCAGCCACACUGGAACUGAGACACGGUCCAGACUCCUACGGGAGGCAGCAGUGGGGAAUAUUGCACAAUGGGGGAAACCCUGAUGCAGCCAUGCCGCGUGUGUGAAGAAGGCCUUCGGGUUGUAAAGCACUUUCAGCGAGGAGGAAAGGUCAGUAGCUAAUAUCUGCUGGCUGUGACGUUACUCGCAGAAGAAGCACCGGCUAACUCCGUGCCAGCAGCCGCGGUAAAAC